UAGUCCACGCCGUAAACGAUGAUAACUAGCUGUUCGGGCCCACAGGGCUUGAGUGGCGCAGCUAACGCAUUAAGUUAUCCGCCUGGGGAGUACGGUCGCAAGAUUAAAACUCAAAGGAAUUGACGGGGGCCUGCACAAGCGGUGGAGCAUGUGGUUUAAUUCGACGCAACGCGCAGAACCUUACCAGCUUUUGACAUCCUGGUCGCGGAUUUGGGAGACCAUUUCCUUCAGUUCGGCUGGACCAGUGACAGGUGCUGCAUGGCUGUCGUCAGCUCGUGUCGUGAGAUGUUGGGUUAAGUCCCGCAACGAGCGCAACCCUCAUCCUUAGUUGCCAGCAUUUAGUUGGGCACUCUAAGGAAACUGCCGGUGAUAAGCCGGAGGAAGGUGGGGAUGACGUCAGGUCAGCAUGCCCCUUACACCCUGGGCUACACACGUGCUACAAUGGGCAAGACAAUUAGUUGCAAGCUUGUGAAAGUUAGCUAAUCUCUAAACUUGUUCU
rnacentral:rRNA from 1 species